GUUCAGCUCAGCCCAAAUUGAAAGACCCCCGGAGCAGGGAGACCCUCACUCAAGUCUCGGGAUGACGAGACCCCCCAAGAACUCACACAAGAUC
rnacentral:pre_miRNA from 14 species